AAAACAGUGUUGAAUGGAAGUAGUAAGGUUUGGGAAACUAUGACAGAGACCUGCUGGUGGCUGAGAGGCAGGAUGGGAUCCCGGCGUGAAGUCGUCCAGGAGCUGCUGCCCGAACGCAUUUUGUUAGUAGACGCAGCCGGCAGGCAACCGUUACCUUGCCAGGCAUUACAUGGGCUGUCCCGGAGAUGCUGGAAAAGUGGUCGUUACGACAAUGAGAGUGGUACCGCAGAGUGAAUACUUUGUCUCUUUU
rnacentral:ncRNA from 1 species